UACCCACCCCCUGAGUGGUAUGCACAAUUAUUGGGCCUAAAGAGCUCGUAGCCUGCUCAUUAAGUCUUUCGUUAAACCUAGCGAUUCAAUCGUUAACUCGCGUAAGAUACUGCUGGACUAGAGGAUGGGAGAGGUCGACGGUAGUCCUGGGGUAGGGGUGAAAUCCUAUAAUCCCAGGAGGACCGCCAGGGGCGAAGGCGGUCGACUAGAACAUGCCUGACGUUGAGGGACGAAAGCUGGGGGAGCGAACCGGAUUAGACACCCGGGUAGCCCCAGCUGUAAACGAUGCUGGUUAGGUGAUGGAACAGUUACGAGCUGUUCCAGUGCCGCAGAGAAGUCGCUAAUCCAGCCGCCUGGGAAGUACGGUCGCAAGACUGACACUUAAAGGAAUUGCCGGGGGAGCCCCACAAGGGGUGAAGGCUGCGGUUCAAUUGGAGUCAACGCCGAGAAACUUACCGGGACUGACACGCAGAAUGAAGUGUCAGGCUGAAGCUCUUACUAGACAAGCUGAGAGGAAGCGCAUGGCCGUCGCCAGUUUGUUCCGUGAGGUGUCCUGGUAAGUCAGGCAACUAACGAGACCCCUGCUGCUAGUCGCCAGCGGGUUCCACUGGAAUGCCGGGCACAGUAGGGGAACCCCCCCCGAUAAGGCGGAGGAAGGAGGGGGGCCCGCCAGUUCACUAUGCUCCGAAUGCCACGGGCCCCCCCCGGCCUCCAAUGGUAGGGCCAGAGAUUUCCGAACUGGAAAGGGUGAGCCAAUCUUUAAAGCAUUUCUCAGUUGGGACUGAGGGCUGAAACUCGCCCUCAUGAACAUGGAAUCCCUAGUAAUCGCGGGUCAUCAUCGCGCGGUGAAUACGUUCCCGGUCCU
rnacentral:rRNA from 1 species